rnacentral:rRNA from 1 species
CUACGGGCGGCACCAGUGAGGAAUUUUGCGCAAUGGAGGUAACCCUGACGCAGCAACGCCGCGUGAGUGAUGAAGGCUUUCGGGUCGUAAAGCUCUGUCAAGUGGGAAGAAUAUACGAAAUGCUAAUACCAUUUUGUACUGACGGUACCACUGAAGGAAGCACCGGCUAGCUCCGUGCCAGCAGCCGCGGUAAUACGGGGGGUGCAAGCGUUAUUCGGAAUUAUUGGGCGUAAAGAGCACGUAGGCGGCCGCUUAAGUCAGAUGUGAAAGCCCGGGGCUCAACCCCGGAAGUGCAUUUGGAACUAAGUGGCUUGAGUAUGGGAGAGGGAAGUGGAAUUCCUGGUGUAGAGGUGAAAUUCGUAGAUAUCAGGAGGAACACCGGUGGCGAAGGCGACUUCCUGGACCAAUACUGACGCUGAGGUGCGAAGGCGUGGGGAGCAAACAGGAUUAGAUACCCGCGUAGUC